GUGUCGGUAGUGCAACGACUUAGCACGCUCCCGUAGAGUGAGAUCUGGGUUCGAAUCCCAGCUGACGCG